ensembl:snRNA U6 U6 spliceosomal RNA
GUGUCAGAAAUAUAUAUAUACUAAGAUUAGAAAGAUACAGAGAAUAUUAGCAAUCCCCUAUAUAAGGAUAACAUGCAAACUUGUAAAGUGUUCAUAUUUUUG